rnacentral:rRNA from 1 species
AUUGAACGCUGGCGGCAGGCCUAACACAUGCAAGUCGAGCGGAGCGGCGGACGGGUGAGUAAUGCCUAGGAAUCUGCCUGGUAGUGGGGGAUAAAGUCCGGAAACGGGCGCUAAUACCGCAUACUAUCAGAUGAGCUUAGGUCGGAUUAGCUAGUUGGUGGAGUAAAGGCCUACCAAGGCGACGAUCCGUAACUGGUCUGAGAGGAUGAUCAGUCACCCUGGUACUGCGACACGGCCCAAACGCCUACGUGAGGCAGCAGUGGGGAAUAUUGCACAAUGGGGCAACCCCUGAUGCGGAAGCGCCGCGUGCGGGAAGACGGCCUUCUGGUUGUAAACCGCUUUCAGCGAUGACGCGGUAGUGGCAGAAGAAGCACCGGCUAACUACGUGCCAGCAGCCGCGGUAAUUC